UUUUUUUUUUUUUUUUUAACAUUUCCUAAAAUGUCUGUUUUGAUUAUACUCUGUGUCACGGACGGCUUUGGAAUUUGGUGUCAUUUAGAUCUGUGCUUCUCAACUGGGGGGCGUGUCACACUGUCCAGGGGGGCGUGUCACACUGUCCAGGGGGCGUGUCACACUGUCCAGGGGGGCGUGUCACACUGUCCAGGGGGGCGUGUCACACUGUCCAGGGGGGCGUGUCACAUUGUCCAGGGGCGUGUCCCAUUGUCCAGGGGGUGUGCCAUACUGUCCAGGGGGGCGUGUCACACUGUCCAGGGGACGUGGCCAGCGUUUGAUUUGUUUUUACUGAAAGGUCGAAUCAUGUUCAUAGCUUCAGGUUUAUUCUUUUUUUUUCGUGUGGAAGAGAAACUGCAGGUACUUUUUGUAACUGUGUCGUGCUACUUACUAUGUGUCUCACUGAUUUAGAUUUCUUUGUUUCUGAUAAACUGGUGCUGCAGACUUUCAUGUUUAUAUUGUGUAUAAUUAACGGUGGCAAUGAAGUAUGUCAUGUACAGUGUUUUAGUAAAAUACUGGGAUGUUUCAUGUGUAGCGUGUUUCUCUUUGACUCAUUCCUCUUUUUUCUCUCAAUUUGAGAUGUUUUAAUUCUAAGCUGAGGUUGAAAUGUUGCAUCGCUGUCGGUCAGUCCUGUUUAAUCUCAGGUUAUCUCACCCCUAGCCGACGCGAUUCCAGCUCGAGCUCUUCAUCUUUCCACUUCACUUCCCAUUGUGAAAGUCACUGCUGUCAUUGGAAUAGGAGCUUCCCAUUGUGAAAGUCACUGCUGUCAUUGGAAUAGGAGCUUCCCAUUGUGAAAGUCACUGCUGUCAUUGGAAUAGGAGCUUCCCAUUGUGAAAGUCACUGCUGUCAUUGGAAUAGGAGCUUCCCAUUGAGAAAGUCACUGCUGUCAUUGGAAUAGGAGCUUCCCAUUGUGAAAGUCACUGCUGUCAUUGGAAUAGGAGCUUCCCAUUGUGAAAGUCACUGCUGUCAUUGGAAUAGGAGCUUCCCAUUGUCUGUGUGUCACCAUAGCCUUGAUGUGGACAAUGGGAAGCUUUAGGAUGAUCGUGGUAACUGUAUUGUCAAAAACAAUAAUAAUAAUAAAGAAGAUUUGCAGAAGACACUCUCUGUCCAGCAUCUUGAAGCCAUGAUGGUACCAGCGCUGCACUGAGCGGGAGUCCCAGCCAGGAAAGGCAGGGACUCGGGACCUCCUCUGAGGGCUGCUGUCUGAAGGAUAAUCCCAGGAAAUACAGGCAGGGUUUCAGCCGGAAAAGCCCUGAAAUGCAAAGCAUCUGUCAUGGUGCUGUUUCUCAGGAGAGACUUUCCCAGCACUCGCUGAGAUUUUACUCAAAAAGUGAAGCAAAUCAGAUAAACAUUGUUGCAGAUGAGGGGUUGAGAGGUACAAACCAGGUCCUGGAUUGCAUGUGGGCAGAUAUUCAAAAAGAAUGUUAUUAUACUGAACUGGGAGCCGACAAACUGGAAAACAACACAUGUGGGUUUCCUGGCUGUGAAAUAGGGGUAAUCAAAUACAGAAUAUAUCUAUAUACUACUCUGCAGAAACAAACAAAAAACAAGAAAAACCAAGGCUGCUAUUGUAUAGAUCUUUCCAGUUUGUAGAAGAGCUUUCUGGAGUUACUGUGCCUGUGCGCUGUUCAUAUGUACAUGUACAGUUUAUAUACUGUAGUUUGCUGUCUUGGUAUAAUUUGUGGUAAUCGGUUAUGCUGUUGGAACAGUAGUAGUAAUAAUGAGUAAUACUGAAUGAUUUGCCUGGACUAUGAUGAAGAAAGCAACACUGUUUCCAUUCAAAUCAAUUGUACACAGAGUAAUCGGGAUUGGAUUUAGCAGGUGUUUCAUUGAAAGAAUCCAUCUCUUUUGCAGAGUGAAUGUAAAGGGUAUCCGAACUCUCGGGAGUAAAGUGUUUGCAGUAAUUGCAGGGGGGGGGGGGGGGGGGCUUUAUCCCAAAACAAUAUUUAUUAUUUAUUUCUUAGCAGACGCCCUUAUCCAGGGCGACUUACAAUUGUUACAAGAGAUCACAUUAUUUUUACAUACAAUUACCCAUUUAUACAGUUGGGUUUUUACUGGAGCAAUCUAGGUAAAGUACCUUGCUCAAGGGUACAGCAGCAGUGUCCCCACCUGGGAUUGAAGCCACGACCCUCGGUCAAGAGUCCAGAGCCCUAACCACUACUCCACACUGCUGCCCCUAACCGCUACUCCACACUGCUGCCCCUAACCGCUACUCCACACUGCUGCCCCUAUCUGUGCACACGUAAAAACACAACUCGUGUCACACACAUUUAUCAGGCUUCCCAGCGUGCGUCCACAAGCAACCAAACAAGCAAACAGCCUGCCAUGCACCCAGGGUGUGCCGGCAGUGAAAGGGUUAAGAGAAAUCCAUCCUCCGCCACACUGCAGUGCGUCCUGGUUAGCACAGGAAACCUGAGAGUUGUGUUCUUUUUAAAGGCCUGAAUCUCUGGCUUUAGGAGAAUAAAUUAAACUGAACCAGUUGGAGGCCUCAGCUGCAGUGCAAGGGCCAGACUCAUUUAUAUUUUCAUCUGGGGAGCUUAAAUCUGGCGGCCAAAAAAAAAAAGAAAUAGGGCACUGACAUAAUUAACUGUCAGUCAAACUGUGAAAAAAGGGGGAGCAGGGGGCUGCUGGUAAUUGCAGUCCGUGUGGAUCAGCAAUAGAGGCUCCUGCACUGC